GCCCGGCAGCCGUACCGCAGACGAGCCCGCGCCCGCGCCGCUCAGUCUCCCAGCUGGACGUUCAAAAUAGCUUUUGAUGUCUUAGGGCGUCUUUUAUUCAACCCUAGAGGCUGAGGGAAGAAAAGAAUAAUUUAAAUGAAAUUUAGUUUCUAUAAAGAAAACGAUUAAAAACAAGAAAUGAGCAUUGACUAUUAGGCACCUGGAUGAAGACUGGGUCCAGAUUGUCAGUCUCCUGUAACCUGCAGAAGCCCUCCAGUUGCACUAGGAACAUUCAAUUGAA
rnacentral:lncRNA from 1 species